CCGUGCCCAGCGGCUUGGUGACGGGUGUCCUGCUUUGCUCCCGCGGGCGCUGCGGGACUGACCCUGCACCCAGAGCACCAGCUUUUGGCAGAGCUGGGCUGGUUGUGGAAGGGAACCCCGCCAGCUCUGCCGCAGCACAGAGAUCCCGCGGCGGUCACAGCUGUGGUGGGUGUCUAGCUCAAAAUACAAAUUAUCCGGAGCGAUGCAAGGGGAGACGGAGCCAGGCCAGACCCGGCUCCUGUCCUUGUGUUUGUCCCUGUUGCAAGGAGGUGCCUCUGUCCUGUGGCCUUCUGAUUCCCGAGCUGUGACCUCACGUGAAACCGCUUGUAUCUUGCGUGUCUUCUGGACAAAUAAAGACCCCCGUGAUCCUUUUUCUUUCUUCCCUUGUGAAAUGGGAAGGUCCUCCUUCCCGCGCCAUGUUGCAGCGAAGCUUCUUGAGGGCGGUGGCGGCCGGUUCCUCUUCGCUUCUUCUCCCCCGUCGCUGAACGAGGGAAAGCUGCGGCGUGAGGACAUGGCUGCGGACCGGCAGGACACCCCCCCCUUGCUGUGCAGGAGGAGGAGGAAGGUGUGAGUGGAGGUACGGGUGGUUCCUGUGUCCGGCUGGGUGGGCUGCCUGCGUGUGAGCUGCUGGUCUUACUGAUCUGG
ensembl:lncRNA